GGGAAUGUGGCUUAGUGGUAGAGUGCUUGCCUCACAUGCAUGAAACCCUGGGUUCGAUUCCUCAGUACCA
rnacentral:tRNA from 1 species